UACGUAGGGCGCAAGCGUUGUCCGGAAUUAUUGGGCGUAAAGAGCUCGUAGGUGGUUUGUUACGUCUGCUGUGAAAUCCUAGGGCUUAACCCUGGGCUUGCAGUGGAUACGGGCAGACUAGAGGUAGGUAGGGGAGAAUGGAAUUCCUGGUGUAGCGGUGAAAUGCGCAGAUAUCAGGAGGAACACCGGUGGCGAAGGCGGGUCUCUGGGCAGUAACUGACGCUGAGGAGCGAAAGCGUGGGGAGCGAACAGG
rnacentral:rRNA from 1 species